GCCGAUGUGGUGGAAUUGGCAGACACGCAGGAUUCAGGAUCCUGUGGGGGCAACCCUGUGGGAGUUCGACUCUCCCCAUCGGCACCA
rnacentral:tRNA from 1 species